GGGCGGGCGGAAGGACUCUGAGAAAACGCCGGUGGCCUGGGAUGUUCUGGGCAGCUGGGCGGAAAUUCCUAACUUGUUGCCUUGGGCGAUGUGAGGGCAGAUUGUGGAUUCCCAUGUUAAGCAUUUUUUACAUCUAAGCCUUGAAGCAGGUUCAUCACAGAGCCAGGCAUAGGACCUCUACACGAAGCAUUGUUGGUGGUUAUGACACAAGGCUGAACACUGAUGGAAGCCCUGAAGAGUGCCGACUACUACAAUUCUUUAUGGGAAAACACUGCCCCACAGCAUCUUGCAGCUUCUGUUUAAGAGAUCGACCU